AAUUAGUGACGUGCAUGAAUGGAUUAACGUGAUUCCCUCUGUCCUUGUCUACUAUCUAGCGAAACCACAGCCAAGGGAACGGGCUUGGGAACACUAGCGGGGAAAGAAGACCCUGUUGAGCUUGACUCUAGUCUAGCAUUGUAAAGCGAUAUAAGAGGUGCAGUAUAGGUGGGAGGUAUGAUAAACUUUUGAACUCGCAAGGGCUAGAAUAAUUUUUAUACCAACAAUGAGAUACCACCACUCUUACUGUUGCUUUACUUACCUGAUUAGGUGGAACAAGUGUUAAAUAUCUUAAUUGAUUUUAAUAUAUGGUUUCUUGUUCAACGUAAAAAAGUCGUUAUUCAAUAAGAUUAGAUGACCGAUAUCUAAAUUUAGUUGAAAGAAUGGAAAUUAAUUCGCAAGAGUUUUUUUAAAUUCGAGUAUUCUAUAAAUUGGUAUCAACUAUCAUGAUCGUACAAAUAACAUCAAAAGGCUUUCUUACACUCCAUGUUAGGGACAGUGCUAGGUGCGGA
rnacentral:rRNA from 1 species